UACGAAGGGGGCUAGCGUUGCUCGGAAUUACUGGGCGUAAAGCGCGCGUAGGCGGCUUUGUAAGUUAGAGGUGAAAGCCCGGGGCUCAACCCCGGAACUGCCUUUAAAACUGCAUCGCUUGAAUCCGGGAGAGGUGAGUGGAAUUCCGAGUGUAGAGGUGAAAUUCGUAGAUAUUCGGAAGAACACCAGUGGCGAAGGCGGCUCACUGGACCGGUAUUGACGCUGAGGUGCGAAAGCGGGGGGAGCAAACAGG
rnacentral:rRNA from 1 species